CCUACGGGUGGCAGCAGUGAGGAAUAUUGGUCAAUGGACGAGAGUCUGAACCAGCCAAGUAGCGUGAAGGAUGACUGCCCUAUGGGUUGUAAACUUCUUUUAUAUGGGAAUAAAAUGUUCCACGUGUGGGAUUUUGUAUGUACCCUAUGAAUAAGGAUCGGCUAACUCCGUGCCAGCAGCCGCGGUAAUACGGAGGAUCCGAGCGUUAUCCGGAUUUAUUGGGUUUAAAGGGAGCGUAGGUGGAUUGUUAAGUCAGUUGUGAAAGUUUGCGGCUCAACCGUAAAAUUGCAGUUGAAACUGGCAGUCUUGAGUACAGUAGAGGUGGGCGGAAGUCGUGGUGUAGCGGUGAAAUGCUUAGAUAUCACGAAGAACUCCGAUUGCGAAGGCAGUUCACUGGACUGCAACUGACACUGAGGCUCGAAAGUGUGGGUAUCAAACAGGAUUAGAUACCCCUGUAGUC
rnacentral:rRNA from 1 species